rnacentral:tRNA from 1 species
UGGCUCAGUGGUUAAGAGCACUGGAUGCUCUUCCAGAGGACCUGGGUUCAAUUCCCAG